rnacentral:rRNA from 1 species
GUGGGGAAUAUUGGACAAUGGGCGAAAGCCUGAUCCAGCCAUGCCGCGUGUGUGAAGAAGGUCUUCGGAUUGUAAAGCACUUUAAGUUGGGAGGAAGGGCAUUAACCUAAUACGUUAGUGUUUUGACGUUACCGACAGAAUAAGCACCGGCUAACUUCGUGCCAGCAGCCGCGGUAAUACGAAGGGUGCAAGCGUUAAUCGGAAUUACUGGGCGUAAAGCGCGCGUAGGUGGUUCGUUAAGUUGGAUGUGAAAGCCCCGGGCUCAACCUGGGAACUGCAUCCAAAACUGGCGAGAUAGAGUACGGUAGAGGGUGGUGGAAUUUCCUGUGUAGCGGUGAAAUGCGUAGAUAUAGGAAGGAACACCAGUGGCGAAGGCGACCACCUGGACUGAUACUGACACUGAGGUGCGAAAGCGUGGGGAGCAAACAGGAUUAGAAACCCGGGUAGUCC